rnacentral:rRNA from 1 species
AUUGAACGCUGGCGGCAGGCCUAACACAUGCAAGUCGCGCGGAUGAAGGGAGCUUGUUCCUGGAUUCAGCGGCGGACGGGUGAGUAAUGCCUAGGAAUCUGCCUGGUAGUGGGGGAUAACGUCCGGAAACGGGCGCUAAUACCGCAUACGUCCUGAGGGAGAAAGUGGGGGAUCUUCGGACCUCACGCUAUCAGAUGAGCCUAGGUCGGAUUAGCUAGUUGGUGGGGUAAAGGCCUACCAAGGCGACGAUCCGUAACUGGUCUGAGAGGAUGAUCAGUCACACUAGAACUGAGACACGGUCCAGACUCCUACGGGAGGCAGCAGUGGGGAAUAUUGGACAAUGGGCGAAAGCCUGAUCCAGCCAUGCCGCGUGUGUGAAGAAGGUCGUCGGAUUGUAAAGCACUUUAAGUUGGGAGGAAGGGCAGUAAGUUAAUACCGUGCUGUUUUGACGUUACCAACAGAAUAAGCACCGGCUAACUUCGUG